rnacentral:tRNA from 1 species
GGCAAAGUGGCUGAGUAAGUGGCGGGUUGUAGCCCCGAGCACAGGGGUGUUAGUCCCCUCUUUGUCA